rnacentral:lncRNA from 1 species
GGAGGGGUAAUGUAUUAGUGGGAUGAUUUAGUGGAUAUUGAUGUGGAAUUGUGGAGGCUUUGCAUGGCAAUAGAAUUAGUUAGUGGGAUGCUCUAGUGGAUGAUGAUGUGGAUGUUUUGCUUGUCAAGUGAAUUAGCUAGUGGGGUUUAUCUAUAUAAGAGAUAUAGAUAACAUAAAUAACCACCAAUAUUGUAAAGUACCUUUCUAAACUCACAUACAAAUUUCCUAUUGGGUCACAUGAAGCUUGCAAGGGUCCUUUGGUGGCAAGGAUGCUAAUAUGAAGCCGCAGGGUCCUUUCAUUCCAAGGGUACUACAACCUUAUUAUAUAAAAAAAAGGUACUACAACCUUUCUGCCGUUCCAAACUUAGGCCUUGUUUAGUUUCCUACCAAAAAACUUUUCACAUAUCAUAUCAAUUAUUUGACACAUGCAUGGAGUAUUAAAUAUAGAAAAAAAUAAAAAAUAAUUACAUAGUUUGUCUAUAAAUCACGAGAUGAAUUGUAACACCCGAUUUUAAGGACAAAAUCAGAUAUGCACCAUAUGUGAGUUUUAGAAGCCAAAUCUCACAUAUAGCUACAAAUAAGGGGUAAUAUCAAAGGACAACGCAUAAAUUAUAUAACGUACGUAAUAAAUCAGAAACAACCUUAGGCAGAAAACCACGGAAGAUAACUUCAAACUUCGGGUAUUAACUUCACUCUACAGGAUCCAACUGACUGGUUGAGCACAAGCCCAAUACUUCUCCUGAGGUGUGGGGGAGAUAGCAAGAGUGAGUCCAAGACGAACUCCGCAAGUAUAGCAACUAGAUAGUAUAGAUCCCACGGUCUCAUGAUCAAUGUGACAUAAAUAAUAUAGAGUAUUAAACAAUAAACAAUGAGUAUCUUAACACAACAAGAUUCAUCACCCUUAAUGUAAGAAUCCCCAAGGCCGCUCGUGACCGUGAGCACGACUAGUAUACCAGUUUUUAACACUCUGCAGAGGUUGUACAUCUUUACCCAUGAGUCAUGAUUUACCCUUUCGCCCGAGGUGAUCAGCCUCUUAACCCACUACCAAGCAAGGUCGGCAGGGAUCACUAUGAAGUCUUUCAAAGGUUCGUCCAUCAAGUUAGGGCCGCUUGGUUUCUGUAGUCAGUCCAUGUGAUUCUACCCCGCAUGGAAUCCACGGUCUGCUAUCCCCCAUUUGCGCCACGC